AUGUGUUUUAUUCAUUUGACAUAUCAAAAUACAUCAGCAUUUAAAGAAGUGGCAAUGAUUAGCCAUCGUCAUACUGGUGAAUACGCAUUUGGAUUUAUAACAUCGAGCAUGAUUCUUCAGGUACUUGUUUAUGCACAACACUUUCUACAAAUGGAUUCAUGGCAUCAAUAA
rnacentral:rRNA from 1 species